rnacentral:rRNA from 1 species
AUGAACGCUGGCGGCGUGCCUAAUACAUGCAAGUCGAGCGAACGGACGAGAAGCUUGCUUCUCUGAUGUUAGCGGCGGACGGGUGAGUAACACGUGGAUAACCUACCUAUAAGACUGGGAUAACUUCGGGAAACCGGAGCUAAUACCGGAUAAUAUUUUGAACCGCAUGGUUCAAAAGUGAAAGACGGUCUUGCUGUCACUUAUAGAUGGAUCCGCGCUGCAUUAGCUAGUUGGUAAGGUAACGGCUUACCAAGGCAACGAUGCAUAGCCGACCUGAGAGGGUGAUCGGACACACUGGAACUGAGACACGGUCCAGACUCCUACGGGAGGCAGCAGUAGGGAAUCUUCCGCAAUGGGCGAAAGCCUGACGGAGCAACGCCGCGUGAGUGAUGAAGGUCUUCGGAUCGUAAAACUCUGUUAUUAGGGAAGAACAUAUGUGUAAGUAACUGUGCACAUCUUGACGGUACCUAAUCAGAAAGCCACGGCUAACUACGUG